GUCGAAUGACUUGGAAAAGUCAGUCAAAGAGGGUAAAAACCCCGUAGACGAAAUGUGGAAGACACCUAGGAGGAUCCUGAGUACGGCGGAACACGAGAAAUUCCGUCGGAAUCCGGGAGGACCAUCUCCCAAGGCUAAAUACUCCCUAGUGACCGAUAGUGAACCAGUACCGUGAGGGAAAGGUGAAAAGCACCCCGGAAGGGGAGUGAAAUAGAACCUGAAACCGUGUGCCUACAACAAGUCAAAGCCCGUUAAUGGGUGAUGGCGUGCCUUUUGUAGAAUGAACCGGCGAGUUACGAUUGCAUGCGAGGUUAAGUUGAAGAGACGGAGCCGCAGCGAAAGCGAGUCUGAAUAGGGCGUUUGAGUAUGUAGUCGUAGACCCGAAACCAUGUGAUCUACCCAUGUCCAGGUUGAAGGUGCGGUAAAACGCACUGGAGGACCGAACCCACGUACGUUGAAAAGUGCGGGGAUGAGGUGUGGGUAGCGGAGAAAUUCCAAACGAACUUGGAGAUAGCUGGUUCUCUCCGAAAUAGCUUUAGGGCUAGCCUCGGAAUUGAGAAUGAUGGAGGUAGAGCACUGUUUGGACUAGGGGCCCAUCUCGGGUUACCGAAUUCAGAUAAACUCCGAAUGCCAUUCAUUCAUAUCCGGGAGUCAGACUGUGAGUGAUAAGAUCCAUAGUCGAAAGGGAAACAGCCCAGACCACCAGCUAAGGUCCCAAAAUAUAUGUUAAGUGGAAAAGGAUGUGGGGUUGCACAGACAACUAGGAUGUUGGCUUAGAAGCAGCCACCAUUUAAAGAGUGCGUAAUAGCUCACUAGUCGAGUGACCCUGCGCCGAAAAUGUACCGGGGCUAAACAUAUUACCGAAGCUGUGGAGUACACCUUUAGGUGUAUUGGUAGGAGAGCGUUCUAAGGGCGUCGAAGGCAGAUCGUGAGGACUGCUGGAGCGCUUAGAAGUGAGAAUGCCGGUAUGAGUAGCGAAAGACAGGUGAGAAUCCUGUCCACCGAAUGACUAAGGUUUCCUGGGGAAGGCUCGUCCGCCCAGGGUUAGUCGGGACCUAAGCCGAGGCCGAUAGGCGUAGGCGAUGGAUAACAGGUUGAUAUUCCUGUACCCGUUGUUUUUGUUUGAGCAAUGGAGGGACGCAGGAGGCUAAGGAAUGCAGACGAUCGGAAAUGUCUGUCCAAGCAGUAAGUCUGAAGAGGAGUCAAAUGCUUCUUUUCUUAAGGACAAGCUGUGAUGGGGAGGGAAAUAAUAGUACCGAAGUUCCUGAUGUCACACUGCCGAGAAAAGCUUCUAGUGAGAAAACAGCGGCCCGUACCGCAAACCGACACAGGUAGUCGAGGAGAGAAUCCUAAGGUGAGCGAGAGAACUCUCGUUAAGGAACUCGGCAAAAUGACCCCGUAACUUCGGGAGAAGGGGUGCUGAUCAUACGAUCAGCCGCAGUGAAUAGGCCCAAGCGACUGUUUAUCAAAAACACAGGUCUCUGCAAAAUCGUAAGAUGAAGUAUAGGGGCUGACGCCUGCCCGGUGCUGGAAGGUUAAGAGGAGUGCUUAGCGCAAGCGAAGGUACGAAUUGAAGCCCCAGUAAACGGCGGCCGUAACUAUAACGGUCCUAAGGUAGCGAAAUUCCUUGUCGGGUAAGUUCCGACCCGCACGAAAGGCGUAACGAUUUGGGCACUGUCUCAACGAGAGACUCGGUGAAAUUUUAGUACCUGUGAAGAUGCAGGUUACCCGCGACAGGACGGAAAGACCCCAUGGAGCUUUACUGU
rnacentral:rRNA from 1 species